AGUCUAAACGAAUCCCACAACCCUCUGAGAAUCCAAAUGGAUAAGAAACACGCGGACUAUAAGAACCAGCAGCUCCACAGUACUGAUUGCACUUAGUUGAAUUAGUAGCCUCAACUGACGAUGAUAACCAACCCAAUAAAAUUGAGAAAACGAAUCUAAUAAUAAUGAUGUGAUGAAAACCCAUGACUCGAAAUUGAAUUAAAGUGAACAAUCAUCUGCUUCGUGGACUGGUUUCAUGUAUUAAUGUCUUUUACUUCUCUCUCUUCCUUCGUCUGCAACUUUUCUUUUCUUUGAUUGGAAGCAAAAUAGCAGCAAUUAAGAGUCCAAAAUUUGAAAUAUCUCAACUCCAAAACAGCUCUGCAAAAACAGGGUUUCGUAACAGUAAAGCUAUCGACUAGUAAUCGGAGAUGGAAGAGACGGGAAG
rnacentral:misc_RNA from 1 species